GGAAUCUUAGACAAUGGGCGCAAGCCUGAUCUAGCCAUGCCGCGUGAGUGACGAAGGCCUUAGGGUCGUAAAGCUCUUUCGCCAGAGAUGAUAAUGACAGUAUCUGGUAAAGAAACCCCGGCUAACUCCGUCCCAGCAGCCGCGGUAAUACGGAGGGGGUUAGCGUUGUUCGGAAUUACUGGGCGUAAAGCGCACGUAGGCGGAUUGGAAAGUAUGGGGUGAAAUCCCAGGACUCAACCCUGGAACGGCCUUGUAAACUCCCAGUCUAGAGUUCGAGAGAGGUGAGUGGAAUUCCGAGUGUAGAGGUGAAAUUCGUAGAUAUUCGGAAGAACACCAGUGGCGAAGGCGGCUCGCUGGCUCGAUACUGACGCUGAGGUGCGAAAGCGUGGGGAGC
rnacentral:rRNA from 1 species